rnacentral:sRNA from 1 species
AUUGCUGAAGAGUAUGGCGGGGUGAUGGUCAGCUUCCCACGCUCUGGCACACAGAGCGACAAAGUCACCCUCAAGGGCGCCAAGGACUGUGUGGAGGCAGCCAAGAAACGCAUUCAGGAGAUCAUUGAGGACCUGGAAGCUCAGGUGACAUUAGAAUGUGCUAUACCCCAGAAAUUCCAUCGAUCUGUCAUGGGCCCCAAAGGUUCCAGAAUCCAGCAGAUUACUCGGGAUUUCAGUGUUCAAAUUAAAUUCCCAGACAGAGAGGAGAACCCAGUUCACAGUACAGAGCCAGUUGUCCAGGAGAAUGGGGACGAAGCUGGGGAGGGGAGAGAGGCUAAAGAUUCUGACCCCGGCUCUCCAAGGAGGUGUGACAUCAUCAUCAUCUCUGGCCGGAAAGAAAAGUGUGAGGCUGCCAAGGAAGCCCUGGAGCUCCCACGGCCUAACCACGACCAUCCUCCCUGCAGGCGUUGGUUCCUGUCACCGUUGAAGUAGAGGUGCCCUUUGACCUUCACCGUUACGUCAUUGGGCAGAAAGGAAGUGGGAUCCGCAAGAUGAUGGAUGAGUUUGAGGUGAACAUACAUGUCCCGGCACCUGAGCUGCAGUCUGACGUCAUCGCCAUC